CUGGUCGGAAGAGUGACCAAGGCUAGUGCGUUCGAGGAACCGGGCCAGCGCGCAUCCCAAUGACAGCACCACCCCCCAACCCCACGCACACACACGGGCUGUAACCGAGAGCGGCCGCUGGGAUCUAACGGGAGUCCGAGUUGUAUACGGAUUGCCAGCUGGUUUGCAGGUUGCUGCGAGAGUGCGGACCCUUCUAGUGUGUGGUCCGGAUCGUCCUGGACCAGCUGCUCGUCCGAAGCUUUUGCGGGUCGGGGUACAACGCGGAAGGAGUACAGAACUAACUGCCUUUGGGACACUCCAAGAGGGAAGCAGUUGAAGAGGGUCGGAGACGGGGCAUGGCAGCUUUACGCACUGUCCACGCUGCACUCUUCUUCUCACUCCUUCCCCAGGUCUCCUGCCGCGGUACGUUCGAACUGAAGAUCCACCAAUUUGUGAACGGCGGGGGCUUAUUGGCGUCCGGCGGUCGCUGCGUGCCCGACUGCCGCACUUUCUUCCGGGUGUGCUUGAAGCAUUUCCAAGUGGUGGUGUCCCCGGAGCCGUGCACCUACGGAAGCGUCCUCUCCCCGUUCCUGGGCGACAGCAGCUCAUUCAGGGUGGCGGCCACUCAGAUCCCGCUCAGGCUGAACUUCACCUUCAAGUGGCCGGGAACUUUCUCCCUCAUCGUUGAAGCUUGGAACUCUCCCUCCAGCCAGCCGAGCCCCAAUGUAACCAGCCCUGAGAUGCUGAUCAGCCGUUUUGCUAUCCAGAGACACCAGUCUGUGAACGCGGUCUGGUCCCGGGACGUCCAGCGAGUGGGCCAUACCCAGCUGCACUACUCGUACCGGGUGAUCUGCACCCACCACUACUACGGCGAGGGCUGCUCCCAUUACUGCCGGCCCAGGAACGACACCUUUGGGCAUUACACCUGUGGACAGGAGGGGCAGCGGAUCUGUAUGGCCGGAUGGGAAAAUGAGUACUGCACACAGCCAAUCUGCCGAACUGGGUGCAGCACACAGCGUGGAUUCUGCAAUCGACCGGGUGAGUGCAAGUGCCAUUAUGGAUGGCAGGGAGAUUCAUGUACUGAGUGCGUGCGGCACCCGGGCUGUCUACAUGGGACUUGUGACCAACCCUUCCAGUGCAACUGUAGAGAGGGCUGGGGCGGACUCUUCUGUAACCAGGAUCUCAACUACUGCACCCACAACAAGCCCUGUCUGAACAACGCCACCUGCACCAACACCGGGCAAGGCAGUUUCACCUGCACCUGCCAGCCUGGCUUCACCGGCGUCCACUGCCAGUCUCCCGUGCCCAAGUGUGGCAGCAGUCCUUGCAGAAAUGGAGGAACCUGCACGGAGUCAGAGGAAAGAUACCACUGCUCUUGCCUUCCUGGCUAUGAUGGGCAGCAGUGUGAGAACAGUGCCCUGACCUGUGCUGACUUCCCCUGCUUCAACGGUGGCUCCUGCUAUAGGACAUCACGGGGAGCCUCUUACAUCUGUAGCUGUAGACCCGGCUUUUCUGGCACCAACUGUGAGCAGAAGGUGGAUCGAUGUUCCAGGAGCCCCUGUGCAAAUGGAGGCCGGUGCCUGGGUCUGGGACUGACCCGCAUGUGCCACUGCCCCCCAGGAUUCGCCGGCCAGAGCUGUGAGAUCAACAUUAACGACUGCGCCCCGAACCCGUGCCUCCACGGCGGCAGCUGCUUGGACCAGGUGAACGGUUACCACUGCCUGUGCUCCGCCGGCUACACGGGCCGGAACUGCGGCCAGCGGCUGCCCGCCGACUGCGACUCGGCAUCCUGUCAGAACGGCGGCACCUGCCACGCCGGCCUCUCCAGCCGUGGCCCCGUCUGUCAGUGUCCCUACGACUUCGUGGGCCGGUGGUGCGAGAUCUCCGUCCAGGAGCCCAGCCCCUCGCAGAAACACCGGCAGCUGCCCAGCCCUGUGCAGUGGCAGCUGGUGUCCCUGGGCUGCGGCAUAGCCGCGUUCGUCCUGUUGCUGCUCGCCCUGGCGCUGGCCGUCCGGCAUUUACGAUCCUCGGCCGGACACCGGCCUCAGCCGCGGCUCGCCAACGCCAUGAACAACCGCACGGACCCGCAGAGGGACAACUUGAUCGUGGCCUCGCAGCUGAAGCUGGCCGGCCUGGAGGUGAAUUGUGGGCCCGAGCGGGGCCGCCCGCAUUGCAAACUGACCAACUGCGCCGCCGAGCUGGGCCGCAAGGGGGAGGCGUCGCUGGAGCUAAAGGGCCACAAGAGCGAGCGGGGACAGCUGGAGGAAAGCUUGCCCCUGGCUGGGCCCCGCAGUGAAAAGCUGUCAUGCAGAAUAUCCACGAUAGCCUGUGCCUGUGACCUGAAGUACCACAGUAUGUCUCGCAUUGGAGAGAGCCAGCAGAACGACAUCACCACUGAGGUGUAAGGCUGACGAGGAGAGGCUGCACUCUGCGCAGGUUGCCGGCGGCUCCGCAACGCUAUUUUAUUUGUUUGUGAAAGGCACCAGUUGUCGGGCGGAGACGGAGGAUUAGGAGGUUUUAGACCCUUCUCCGAUGGCUGAACCUUGGAGACUGCAACAACUGCCCCUGUCACCGAGCGCUGGGCAAGCUGACUCCUCCUUGUGAAGAACAAGGAGCUGAGGGUGGACUUUCCUGAGGGAGCAACUGGCAGUGAGCUGGAGAUUAACAACAGACUACGUCUCAUUCACUGUCUGAGCACUUCCCUGUGACUACACAGGCAGAGAACGGUCUGGAGAGAAGAUGGGACAGACUCUAAUGUACAGACUGAGCAGAUUCCUUCAAAUCACUGGCAAAUGAGCAGCAAGACAAUCAAUAUUUUUUUAAGCCCAACUGAAUGAUGUGGUCAAGGAAGUCAUUGCUGCUGCGGGACAGAAGUCACACAAGAAGCCCACAGGUUUCCUACCUGAUCGGCACACUGAACUGCCACACAAGAUUUAGUAAAAACCUAACAUGCUUGUGAUUUUAUUGACAAUGGCUACUUAUUACUGAUAGCUGAUUACUUUAAAGCGUAAUUCAGAUUCCUGAAUGGCUAUGCUGGGACCUCAACUAAUACUUCACUGGAUUAUUAGCUCCCAUAACUGUAAUGCAUUUAAUAUUUUAGUAAUAUUUGAUAAUAUUGUAAAUAUAUUGUUUGAUUAAGCAUUCUUUGUUUACACAAUUCAUUAUGGGUUAUAUGUAAAAGAACAUGAAUGGUAUACGUCAUUACGACACGUCAUAUGUGUGCGCCUUACUCAAGAAAAGAUAAAAU